GCCUCCUUAGCUCAGCGGCCAGAGCGCUCGCCUUGUAAGCGAGUGGUCGAGGGUUCGACUCCCUCAGGAGGCU
rfam:Tessaracoccus sp. NSG39, complete genome.